rnacentral:lncRNA from 1 species
GUAAGAACAAAAAAGUUCAAGGAGUUGUUACCUCUGCCAACAGCAAAGGAAUUCUUUCUUCAACUGAAGAGUAGAUUCUAUAGUGCUUGUAAAUGAAGUGUUGAAUGGUAGUAAAAGUUUGGGCAUUGAAAACAGAGGAUGUGCAGAGACUGUAAAGAAAUUAAGUGAGAAUGGUUUGCUGGAUAUGCUAUGUUAGUAUGUAUGAAUAAUAGAACAAAUGAGCCAAAGAUAAAACUGGGCGUAAGAAGAAUCAAAUAUAGGGUGCAAGAAAAAUGACAGCACUAAUGAGGGAGGACAGUUGGAUAUCAAAAUGCUAAAAGAUUCAAGUGAAAGAAAUCUAUGCAAAAGGAAAAUUGAGAAAACAUAGCAGAAGUGAUGAAAACUAAUAACCAGAUAAAAUAUAUAUAGCUGCUCACUGUAAACGCCCAAAGUAACAAAUCUUUGGAGUAGCUUAAAUAAACUAUGUAUGCAUAGAUAAGGGUGCUUAUUCAAAAGGCAAGGGGAAACUAAUUGAUGCGUACUCUUUAGGGAUAUUUGUUCCAAUUCUUUUUAAUGUAUUAGUCAGGAAGAUGGAAUGUGCUCAUGAUUUUUUACAGCCCUUCCUAGAUUGGUGACAUUGACAUAGCUUAUAUUCAGCUUCAUCAUAUGUAUGUUGGUAUAGGGGAAAAAAGAAAGAACAUGGAUAACAUGGAAACCCUGAAGGUUACUACAAAUCUUAGGCUUCACCAUCACAGGAUUUCUCUUGGCAGAUGUACAUCCUUUAUAUAGCCAAAAAUGAAUCACCAAAAUUGGUCUUCUUUUUCAGAAUCAGAACAUACUUUAACCCACAUUGAAGUGCAGAAAAGGCUAAAAUAUUUUUAUCACAUUUACACUGCUUUAAUACUUACAGUUUAGAUCACAUCCACUUAACUGAUUGUCAUGAAGUCAUUCUCCAACAUAUUCCAGAUGUAUUGUCUCAUCUUUCUGGCCUCUCCUCUGCCACUUCUACUCAUACACUUUUGAUUCAUCUCUCCUCUUCUCAUCACCCACAAUGUGUCCACCAAACACAGCUCUACACUAACCUUUAAGCCUGGUUCUUCCUUCUCAGAACACUGGCUUUCAGUUUCCACUGCAGCUGUUGAAUCACACCUCAUCAAGAUGAAUGUUAAUGGAGUUGAUUUCACCAGUCUCAGAAAAUCUGCGAAAGCUAUGGUCUCAGCCUGUUCGUUCAGAUCAAGCCAGUAAACAAAAAUUAGAAUGAAUGAGUGAGUGAGAGAGAGAGGGGGGGGGGAGAAAGAUGAUAGGAAACUGCAUGUUUCUGAAACACUUUGUCUAGAAAAGACUUUAGAUAUCUAAUCACAUAAAAAAAAAAAAAAAAAUACUUUAUGCAUCUAGGAUAUUCAUGAGGUUUUCAUCUCUUAACCAACUUUGUUAGACAUUGGAAAUUCAUAUCUAUAAAUGUCAGUACCAGAUAUCCUCAUAUGUAAGGCAGCUUCUAAACAUUUAUUUAAUGUUGACUGCUGCUCUACUUAUUGGAUAAUAAUUAGUCAAAUGCAGUCAUUAUAGUCAUCUAUUUAUACCAUGGGAAAUAGUUUCUUUGCUUUGGUGGUAAUAGAAUUGUUUUAAACAAGACUUUCCAGUUAUCCAACAGAAUUCUAUUGAUUUGAUCAGCUGCAAGACCUUUUCUUUAGAAGUUUGAAUAGGAAGGUUACAUAUUGAUUUCAUAUUAUUAAUAUAUUUCUCUUCCUCCCCCUCUCUCUCUCUCUGACACAUAUAGUGAUGAGGAAUGAUGUGUUAAUUUUGAUGAUGUUCAUUGUUCAAUGAAUGGAAUUAUCUACUCAGUAUAUUAUGGUGUACGUGGUUGUGUAUUUUACAGACACAUGUAUCUUUAAUAUAAUCUGCUCGCAGAAAUCAGUUUGAUAUUGCAUCACAGGAAGGGCUGGCUUCUUUGAUUUAUCUCACACACUUCUGUACAGUUGCAAUCAACCCAGUUUCAUUCACUGCUUAAGCUAACCAAAACCUUUGUAGAGGAUUUAACCCAUCAGUUGAGCAGUGGAAUCAAACCCAUGGUACUUGAUUGUGAAUUUCUUAACAAUUUAACCACACCUGCAUAUCACACACACACACAUCAAUUGAUUAGGAAGAUAAUGAACUUAGAUAAGAAGCAGUUUGGCUUUGUGCCAGAUAAAAAGUACUAUUGAUGCUAUCUUCCCAUUUAGAUAAGCAUAGGAGAAGUACCUAACCAGGAAUGAGCCCUUAUAGCUGGCAUUUGUUAACCUAGAGAAGGCCUUUGAGAGGGUUCUACUUGAAAUGAUUCAGUGAUCAUUAAGGAAGUUAGGGUUUGAUAAUUGGCUUUUCAGCAAUGUACAGAAACACAAUAAUCAUGGUGAGAACUUGUAAAAGACAACUUGUUAUGAGCUACAGACUAGAAGUGUGGAUGGAGCAAUGUACAGUUCAGAUAGGUGACAUGAGUUGAAAGACUUGGAAGAAAGGUGAAACAGGGAAUAGUAUCAUUUAGCUAUAAGAAAAGAUAGACAUCAAGCAAAUGUAGCACAGAGACAAGCUAAGAGACCUUUGUCAAUGUUCUGCUAUGAGUGGAUAGAAGCAUAUAAUGUUUCAGAUUGCAAAACAGUGUGUGAAUGUGAAUCAAGACGUCGCUGAGAGUGACAGUGGCACACAUACCAUCACUGAUGUGGAACAGAAAGAGGUUUGUGAAAGGCAGCAAGCUGGCAGAAUUGUUAGCGUGCUGAGCAAAAGGCUUGGGGGCAUUUCGUGUCUUUAUGUUCUGAGUUCAAAUUUCCCUGAGGUCGACUUUGCCUUUAAUCCUUUCAGGGUCGAUAAAUUAAGUACCAGUUGCGUACUGGAGCCGAUCUAAUUGACUGGCCCCCUCCCCCAAAAUUUCGGGCCUUGUGCCUAAAGUAGAAAAGGAAAGAGGCUUGUAAAUGUUACUACAUGAAGUUACUGAAUGAGAUGUGGCGAAAAUAAUUUACACCAAAUUAAUUUUACAGAGGAUAAUGGUUGUACAGUCGAAAAUGUGAUUAAGGAUAUGAAGGCAGGGAAAGCAGCUGGGUCAAUGAUGAUAGUUACUGAGAUGCUAAAAAUAACUUGCAAAUAAUGCUUGUACUGGUUACUUGCAUCAUAAUUCAGGUAAAACAGGGCCAUGUCAUACCUAAUUAUAGGUGUUGCAGAAUCAGCUGCUUUGAGGUCAGAGAAGAUACUCAAAAAACAAGCUACCACAGAGGCCAAGUUAUGAAAGUGACAGAGUUUUAGCCUUCUUGGUUGGAAAAAAUAAAAUUACCUUAGAUUAUAUGUAUCUUAAAUUUAUGCCAUGGUAGGGUACUGCUAAUACUUUCUCCCAAGUGAGACAACUACAGGAGAAAUUCUUAACUCAGAACAGGCCCCUGUACCUAUCCAUCUGGUGAAGACUUUUGAAAGAGUAUCAUUAUGUUGCGGUGAAAGUGAAGUGGUGAUUCAAGAGACAUAAUUGAAACUGCAGUGGUAGAAUGGUUAUCCCCCCUUUAUCUGUUACUGUUACGUUCUCUCUCUCUCUCUCAAGUAUUCAAAUUCAAUUAUAGACGGAUGUCUCGCCAGUUAAAUGGAUUGUUUCAUAUCCCACCAAAAUAAAAAAAAAAAGGGCCCUACUGUGCAAUACAAGGGGAUCUGUCUCAUGUGAAUACCUAAUAUGUCGGGGAUUCACGAUAUCCUCAUCGAGGAAAGUUAACAAUUGUUCUGACCGCAUCCGGCUUUCUAGAAACCAAGUACUGAUUCAGUGAGGUCCUCAACCAGAUCCCUACCAUUUGGAGAGUGUUUUUUCCUGUCGUUUUUUAAAGGUUCAUUUCUUCCUAAUAUUAAAAAUUUCUGAAUCUUUCAAGACAAAUUCAUAAAUUUAUAGAAAGAUUUUCUUGAAUUUAAUCUUGAAGUGAAGGGUGUUGCGUUGGUUGUUUCGAGAGCGUGACAGUAUAUUUGUUCCUAAUACGAUGGUGCUGCUUUUGAGUGGUAUCCUUUCUGCAGAGGCGAGGUGGAAUAAAUGUACCCAUUGUGCAAGCAAAUAUAAGUGUACUAAGUAAAUGUGUUUAAUAAAAAAAAAAAAAAAAAUUGAUGUGUAUUCAUUCUGAGCAAUGUUCAGCUACAAUGUAAUAUAAAGCAAGUAUGAAUGUUUUUAAUACAAAAUAAUAUGAUUUCUCUCUCCAAGGUGUUCCAACUAACUUCCUGAUCUAGGAUCUUUUUUAAAGCGUAGAAACAUGUAUGAGCAACAACUGAAAUAUAUCCUGAAUGGAUGCGGAGAGUUAUUAGGAAAGAUGUCGUCUUUCGAAGUUUAUUUUCUUAGUCUCUUUAAUAUGUUAAUAAAUGUAAAGGAAUGCAAAACUAAAAGUACCGUUUAGAACAUUUUCCUGUGUUACUAUUACUCGUAUCUGUUUUUCUUUCGCUUUUUCAGUUUAUAUUUUCCAACAUUUCUUUCUUGACGGCAGUUAUUAGAGGAAGGGAGAUAAUCAUUGCACGCGGUUAUUGCAGUUAUCUCCCUUAACUUUUUAAAAAUUUUGAAGAAAUUCAAAUCUGAUUAAAAACUUCGUUACACUCAAGCAAAAAUACUAUCCUUAUAAAUAUAUUUUUUUGCAUCAGGGAUUUAUUUAAAGUCGACUUUAUCAAUCACAGAUGUACAGUCAGUACUGGCACAACUGUGGGAUAUUAUGCACAGUUGAUAACAAAUGACGCCUGACUUUUAUUAUAUCUGAGGUUUAUGAAGCAUUAAAGGAGAAAUAGAAAAAUAGGAGCAGUAAUAAAAAGCCAUAAUUUUUUAAUAUGGAAAGCAACAGUUAUGAAUGCUACUCAAGUAGAUGUAGAGUAAAAUUUUGUUUUAAAGCUUGAUCAAAGUUUUGUUUUAACUGACAUUAAUACUGACUUAAUACAGUUAAUUUCCUGUCACUACUGGAGAUUGUAGAUCUUGACUGCAGGGAUGGUAUGUGUCCUGAUGGAAUAACUCUCUUCCCAUACGAGGGAGGCAGAUUCCUAAUCUAGGACAAGUCGUGUUACAACGCACUCUCCACCUCCAAUCUUGCCAAAAUGGCUGAAAAUGUAGAUAUGCUAGCCAUAACACAGAGGAGAGAAAAAUUAUCAAAUACAAGAGCCUGAUUGGCCGCAGUCAGUUUGUGCUAGAUGCCAUUAAGACCUUUACAAAAUCUGGAUAACUGUGGUCCAUCUGAGAAAUAAACCCUGCAAGGUGGAAUGGCUGCAUCAAUGAAUGUUGCUGGACAUUCUCUGCAACGACACCUUUGCAAUCAUAUCUAUAAGACAUGGCUAAACACAUCAUGUGUUCUGCGGUGUACAACCUACUUCUCCCUCCCACCCCUUCUUCUUGGUGCCUAAUCUACCCCUUUUCUUUGUUUCGUUGGUGAGGUAGUUAUGGGUUUUUUAAAUGAAGCGCUUAUCAGUAUUUUUCAUGUUCAUUAAUUAAAUUAUAUUUAGCCUUUUGGAUGACUGAGUUGAUAGGUAAACAGGCAACUAGCCAAGGAAUUUGCACUUUGCACUGCUUUGUAACUGUAACUAAGAUACUUAAUUUUCAUUACACUAAAUAAAUGCAAUGGUUACUAUAAUUCACUGCUGUAAGCAAUGGCAGAACUAUGAAUAUUAAUCAUCAUCAUCAUCAUUUAACGUCCGCUUUCCAUGCUAGCAUGGGUUGGACGAUUUGACUGAGGACUGGCGAACCAGAUAGCUGCGCCAGGCUCCAAUCUGAUCUGGCAGAGUUUCUACAGCUGGAACUGUCCAGUGUGCUACCACAGAACUUUGAAUUGAAGAAGGGCACAGUCUUCAAGCUUCACAGAAACCUGGACCAGCCAAUAUCUUCUUAUCAUUUUUACAAAUUUUACAGAUCAAAUUCAUCGGCUACCUUCUAGAAAAAGCACUAUUUGGCUGGUUCUGGUAGCUUAUUCAUCCACAAGGUUUGCUACUUUAUUGGUCAACAUCGCAUAUUGCCGAAUUUUUUAUUCCAAUUGAAGUUUCCCGGUCACGUGGACUUAAAUAACUUUAUUUAUAAAGAAUUUUCAUUACUUCCAAAUUAAUAUAAGGUAAUUUUAAAGCUAACAUCCUUUUUUCCCAAAGGAAGCCUGGUUUUGGGUGUCUUUCAUUUUCAGAGAAGUCCUAGAAACCGUUUCGAUUUGCACAUUCUUUAAAUUUCACACUCAAGUGUGAUAUUUCUUAGGAAUAGCUUUUACCUUCUGCCACCUGUCAGUGCACUGAUGUUUGCAUCAAUCAUAUACAUUUUAUCACAAUUGCACUUUUGGUUGAUAGAAUAUCGAUUUUCUUGAAAUAGAUUCUGUCCACAUGUGAAUGUUCAUUCACAACUGUCUGCAUCCAUGUGCCAUUUGGUGCUUAUAAUACCAUUGCAAAUAACUGAGCGCUUUAGUGUUGUGGGAAUUUUUGUGUUUAAAUACCAUAUUUAGUGCAUGCGAACAGCAAUGAGGUAAAUUUGAUUUUUUAAAAAUUUCAUUCAAUUACAGAUUUUCAGUAGGAUGCCUCAAAAAAGCAAGUCUCAUUGGCAGAAAAACAAAAAAUGCUUCAGUUUUGCAUUCCUUGCAGGCAAGCAAGACAGGUGUGCUCUGGCAUGCUUGCAAUGCUGCUUCUACUUCAACUGCCAGAACAUCACAGACAGCUCAACAAGCAGAACUCUGGCGUGCUUGCAAUGUUGCUUCUACUUUGAUUGUCAAAGCAUCACAGACUGUUCAACAAGCAGAACUCUGGCGUGCUCACAAUGCUGCUUCUACUGCAGUUGUCAGAGCAUCACAGACAGAAAUGGAAUUACAUUAUUUUAGACUCCAGUCCUAUCACGAACUUACACUGUCCAAUGGACGGCAGUUGGGUUCCUAGUGGAUGCCUCUGAUGAGAACCCAAUAAGGUUUGAAAAUCAAUUAAGGUUGUUCAUUUUUUUCAGUCUGCAGAGAAAUGGCUAAAAUUUUUCCGUUUAUAAUUAUACCUAUAUAUUAUAUUAUACUUUGAUACUGUGUGGACUAAGAAUCCUGUUGACAGGCAGCUGGUAUUUAUAGUGUUAAAUACUUUUAGUAUGCAAAUUAGGGGCUCCUUCAUAGAGUAACUGCUGCAUUUGUUGAGUAUAUAACAGUUUGGCUGCUUGUUUCUCUGGAAAUUGUUAAAAUGCUGUGGACACUUCUGAUAAGAACCCAAUAAGAUUCAAAAAUCGAUUAAGGUUGUUCAUCAUUUUUUCAGUCUGCAGAGAAAUAGCUAAAAUUUGCCCUGUUUAUAAUUAUACAUAUGUCACGUAGGAUGUUAUAUACAAACGAGUAUAUAUAGUUGUCUAAAUAGAUUCCUGGAAAAAGUCACCUACUUGACAGGCAAUCCCACAAUUUUCAGUAACUGUGAUAUUGUUGAAGUGUAUUUUAGUGGUUGUUAAUACUGUUUUCCAAUACACACACAUACGCAGUGAAGGCAAUGAACAAAAAAAAAAAAAGACAACACAGGAGAAACAAGUUUUAACAAAUAAUGUAUUAGUUUAACACUUAAAAAACAAAAGAGAAAGAGCCUAACGUUUUGGAUGCUAGUCUUUCAUCAGAUGAAAAGUAGCUAGAGAGAGAGGAAAGAGACAAGGUAUUAGGGGUAGUUGUGUGUGUGCACAUGCAGAAGUGCAUCUGUUUUGAGAUGGGCACAAGGGACAAAGGGAGUGUGAGAUUUUAGUGUGCAGAAGUAUGCAAGUACAGUAGUGGCAUGGGCUAGUGUGUGUGGGAGUGUUGGUAUGUGUAAUUGUUAAGUGGUGUAUGAAGAAGGUAUGGAAGGAGGUGGGAGCAGGCAUAAGUGUGAGAUAAAAGGGAAGGCAAGAAGAAUGUAGAGGGGGUGGCAGAAGUGUAAAUAGGGGUAUGGGUGUGAGAUCUGUAAUGUGGAAGAAAAUUAUGAACAAGAGGGUACAAUUACAGUGCUGGUGUAAAGAAAAACAUUUUUUAAGCCCUGUGAGGUACUUAGAGGAGCAGGGGGAAUGCAACAGAAUUCAAUGUAAAGUCUAUAAAUCAAAGGGAUAAGGAAAGAAAAACAAAGAAAGAGAAAAAAUGUAAAAAAAAAAUCCAGCAAGUUUAGGGAGAGGAGUGAGUGAAAAUAAUGAGAAAAAUUAAGAAAAAGUCCAUAUAAUGAGGAGCUGAUAAAUGAAAAUUAGAAGGCAACCAAUAGAUGUCUAAGCAUGAAAUUUUAAGGUGUUUAAAACAAGUUUCUCUUUUCAUCCAUUUUACCUCACUCAUGUCUGCUCCCACCUCCUUACUUUCACACUAAUGCACAAGCAAUCACACCACUAUACCUCCAUACUUGCCACAAAAUCACACACACACACAGCACCCAUCUCAAAACAUGGUUAUACUCCUGUCUCUUCUUCUUUGACUCACCCCAUAUUCCGACGUUGCUCAUCUUCUACUCUGUUUUCUCCCCUCUCUCACUUCUUAACCACUUUUCCUUUCCCAUGCCACUUUUACUUUUCUUCUGAUGAAGGACUAGCAUCUGAAACGUUAAGACUAUUUCCCUUCCUUUUUAAGCAUUAAACUAAUCCCUUUUGUGUUGUCUUUUUCUUUUUGUUCAUUGCCUUCACUAUAUAUUUUUUUAACACAUGGACUUCUUACCUCUUUUAUUCUUUGUUGUAUAUAUAAUAUAUACAGGCAUACCUCAACCUAUGUCGUUAAUUGGUUUCAGGAGACACAACUAAUGUUGAAUUAACUUGUCUCUAGGUUAAACCGAUAAUAACCAUUCCCAGUUCUGUACUUUAUUUAUGAAUGCAUUUUCAAUAAUACAUGGUUAAUAAAAACCUAUUUUAAGCUUACAGACAAGUAAUUUUAUUUUUUAAUACAGUAUCGUAAAAAAAAGUAAUCUAAAUUUACGAAUACAAUUUGGCAGUGUUUACCGUAUGUUGCAGACGCUUUAUUUAUGAAUGUGGUUUGCAAUAAGACCUGGUAAAAUAAUAGCCUUUUUUAAGCCUAAAAAACAAAUUCAGUAAUUAUUAUUAUUUUGCAAUAGUAAAAAAAAUAAAUGAUUUAAAAUUUACCAAUGUGUACAUACAAUUUGGUGGUUUACAUUGCAGAUGUAGAUGGCUGUGGAUCGUCAACAUCAACAACUAACUCUGGCUGUUAUUGUUGUUUGAUGUGCUUAAAAAACCGGUUGAGAGUUCCUCGAACUGUCUUCUUUUCCUUAAAGAUUACAUUAUAAGGAGCAAAAGCUUCGUGACAAGUCCCUAUAAUCUUGGAAAUGCAUUGAGCAUUUGGAUCCAUAUCCACGAAUGUAGAAAGACCUUUUUCAAUAUAUGCAAAUGCUUGCUGCAUUUUCUUAAUAGUAAAGUGAUGUAGCUCAGGUUUGACUUCCUCUUCUUUAUUUGGCUACUCAUGAAGCUCUAUCAAAUCUUUGUUUGUCAGGGACAGCUUAUCUUUUUCAAAUAAAUCUGUGAAAUCCUCUUCCAAGUCCAUUUCCAGUUCUUUGCUUGUAAUCACCAACGUUUUGUUGAAUGCAACAUUAUCAAACCCCCUUAAAAUCAUUCAUAAAUUGUAGGCAUAGCUUCUUCCACACACCAUUCAUAGCUGUGCUCUGUACAUCAUUCUAUGCCGCUGCUAUGUUCUGUACAGCUUUGUAGAUAUUGUAUAUCUUCCAAAAGUCACAAAGUGUGAUGAACUCAUCAAGACCAGUUACAGCUGUUGCUUGCUGCAGCAUACGUUUCAUAUAGUAACACUUGAAGAUAGCAAUUAUUCCCUGAUCCACUGGUUGCAGAAGAGAUGUGGUGUUCGGAAGGAGGUAUAUGAUGGUAAUGUUGGGGUCAAAAUUUAUGAUGCUUUGUGGGUGACCAGGAGCAUUAUCUAAAAUCUUAAAAAGAAUCCCCUUCUCCUAAUUUCCUACACAUUGGUCCUUGGAUCUUAGCUUUACACACACACACACACAAAUAAUAUGGUAAUAACAAUUUUUUUGUGUAAGGAUAAGCAGGCAAUUACAAUACAUAAUUUAAAUAUGUGGCUUAUAAAAGAUAAUCAGAGCAGUUGUCAAUUGCAACUGAUAGAUAAGGACUGUCACUUAAAAUACUUUUAUAAAGCACCAGAAGUUUAAAUUAUUAAAAUACUACAACAGUGAAUGAAAUUGCAAUCCAGAAACAAGGAUUUUUAUUAACAGAUAUUUUUUUUUAUCACAGACAAUUUUUUCAGAUAAUUUAAAAUUUUUCUUAUUAUCACUUAUGAAAUGAUAUUUUAUUUCAAAUGUGCUGUAUCUAUGCAUAUGUGUUCAUGGAGAUGAGUACACAUAUAAUUCAGUUGUAAAGUUACAUAAGUAACUCAAGGACUGAAGAGUCUUGUGUAUUACACAUAUCAAGUUUGAUAAGUGCAAUACAUCAAACUCUUGGUCCUUGAGUCACUUUAUAGUUGAACAAAAUAUAUAAACCCUUAUGUAUUGUGUUCUAUUUCACCUCUUUGUUCCACCAUACCUACAUAUAUCUUUAUCUUUUACUUGUUUUAGUCAUUGGACUGUGAUCAUGCUGGAGCACUGCCUUGAAGAGUUUAACAAAUUGAUCCCAGUACAUAAUUUUUAAGUCUGGUAUUGGUCUCCUUUUACCAAAUUUCUAAGUUAUGGGGAUGUAAACAAACGCAUACACUCACACACUCAAUGCGCUUCCACACAGUUUCCACCUACCAAAUUCACUCACAAGGCAUUGGUUGGCCCAGGACUAUAGUAGAAGACACUUGCUCAAGGUGCUGUGCAGUGGAACAGAACCCGAAACCAUGUGGUUGCAAAGAGAGCUUAUGAACUAUACAGCCAGAGAUGGCAGAAAUAUCCUGUGAUAUUUAGUGAUGUCAGUGUGAAGCUUGAAACAUGCUAAAGUUACUUUUUUAUCCCUUUGGAGAGUCAACAAAAUGAGUACCAGUAUACUAAGAGUCAAAAUAAUUAACUGUAUGCAUUUUCUUCAAAUUUGUACUCUUUUGCUAUCGUAAGAAAACAGACAUAUUUCACUUUAAGUUUUUAAGUUAUCAUUUUCAAUCUGAUUGAAGCCAAUGUAGACCAAUGAAUUGUUGAGUGACUAUAUCUAUUUCAAUGUACAAUCUCAUGUAAAGUGAAGGUGACAGUUGAGAUAACCUGAGGGCAAGAUUAUCUUGUCUCCCUGCUCUUAUUAUACAUAUACUUUAGUUUCUCACAAGAAAUAAAUAUAAUUAUUUCACCUUGAACUUAAAUCUCUAAGGUCACCUGAACAAAGAAACAGAAAAAGGAUUAAACAAAAUUCUAAGCUCUCAUUUGUAACUCCAAGUAAGAAAUCUCAGUUUGAAAUUAGAAAUUAAAAAAAAAAAAUAAUUUCUAGAAGUUUCUUUUUAUGUUUAAGUGAUAAAAAUAUUUGUAAAUUGUGCAAGAGUUCUCGUUCCCAGCUGUUAUGAUCAUGAUACAAUUUACAGCCAACAACAGAUUCUUCUUUUCUUCAGAUAUAAACAGAUUUAGUGCAGGAAAUAUCUGCUAUAAAACAUGUGUUUGUUUAAAGUUGCCAAUUUGUUUAUGCUCAGUUAUAUACUUCCUUGUUAAUCUUUUUCAACAAACUUUAGCAAAUCUCAAACUUAUUUCCAAGAAAUAUUUCAAUUUCAUAUAUGUUCAUAUUACAUACAUCUCAAUGUAACUGUUGAUUCUCCCAAAAAAUCACAUUUCCAGCUAUCUUUAAAUAAAGACCAUAUGUAAGUUAUUAAUAAUAUAUCCUAAAUAAUUUUAUUACGUUCAUCAUGUCUAAAUACUAAUUAAACACUGAAGAUCUGCUUAAAUUAGUUAUGGCAGACAUCACAUAUCUAUUUGUCAAAUGGUACUGGGUCUAUAGGAUAUUUCCUGUUAUAAAUAACAGUAAUGAUAGAAACUUUUAUCUAAUAUCCACAACAUAUUGAUUGUUUGUUCUCAAUUGCCACACAUCUUAGCAACCAUAAACUUCUGUUCAGUUGACACUUUUUUUCACAGCAAAUACUAAUAACCUUCCUGAAAUUCCAUGUGUUAUCUGAAUAACUAGCAGAUAACAAGCUCUAUUGGCAAUGAGCUUGUUACUAAAUUGGAUAAAGCAGUAUAAAUUGUUAAAAGACAUUCACUGAGAGCAUGAUAAAAAUGGAAGUUUGAGGAUCAAAUUUUCAUGCUUGUUCUUAAAUUUGGCAUUUUUGCCUUAAAGAAUUACACUGUUCUUGUGAAAGUGAGAUAUAACCAUAUAUUUUUAAUAAUAAUUUCUAGCUUAGGCACAAGGUGAGAAAUUUUGAGAGGAGAAAACAGACAAUUUAAAUCAAACCUAGUGAUUGACUGGUAAUUUCUUUAUCAAUCUUGGAAAGAUAAAGGCAAAGUUGACUACAGUAAGAUAUAAACUCAGACUGUAGAGAUGAACUAAACACUACAAAGUAGUUAAUGUAGUGCUCCACUAGUUUUUCCAUCCACUUCUCAAAUAAUAGUAAUAAUGUCUAACAGGCACAAGGCCAAAAUGUUUAUGAGGAUGGAAACAGUUGAUUAUGUCGAUGCCAGUACUUGACUGGUAUUUUAUUUAUUGAGCAUGAAAGAAUGAAAGGCAGUUGGCCAUGGCAGGAUUUGAACUCAUAAUGUAAAGCACAGUGUUGCCAAUGUAAUAAUAACCACAAUAGUAGUAGUAGUAGUAGUAGUAGUAGUAGUAGAAGUAGUAGUAUCAGUACCAGGCAGUGGCUCUCAUGCUUCUGAUCUUAACUGAUCGGAAGUGUUAUCAUGUACAUUGUUUUGUCUUGGUAUAAAAGAUGGGCUACAGCAAAUAUUCUGCUCAAUACCACAGAUUUGCUUGUCAGUUGUUUGAUUGUAACCAGUUGAGCAAGUCUCUUAGUUGCUGAUGAUAUGUGCAUCUCUGAUCAUGAGCAUCAUAGCCAUGUGUUGAGAGGAAUUCUGUAGGGUUUAGAUAAUUCACCUUUGGGAAACAUGGGUGUUUCAUUCAACAUCCUUAAACAACCCUUAUUCAAGGACCUUUUGAGUGGGACGGGUUACUCGAACUGAAAAAAAUUCUAACUGGGCCUCACCUGCAAGGUCAUGCACUAUUUAUCUUGAUACGAAAUCACCAUAUUGUGCACAUAGUUGUGAUGCAUGUGCCUAGUGUACCCUUAUCAGAUGGGUAGUCAUAAUGGGUAUACUGGGCUUCAUAUAUUUUACCCAAGUGUCACUUUGAUGGUAUGCACUCUCUCACUCAAUAAUAAUAAUAGUAGUAGUAGUAGUAGUAGUAAUUUUACAUAGGCACAGUAUUAGGGUUACUACUACUACUACUACUACUACUACUACAACAACAAUAAUAAUAAGUAGGUAAAAAAAUGAAUACUAACAGUGUAGUUAAUGACUAUAAUGUUGUAAUUGCUUUAGUUUCAACACAUGAUCUGAGAUCAAAUCACAUGUUAAACAAAUGCAACUCCAGGUUAAUUAAUAUUCAUUAUUCUGAGUGCAAUGGUUUGUCAGACUAAAUACUUUGCCAUAUAAUUCAGUUCUGUUCCUUAACAUUAGGAACUGAAACCCUUAAGAUGUUCAAUAAAAUAAGUAGCAGUAAUAUACUAGGAUUAAUUUAUUUCACUAUACUCCCUCUCCUUUAAAACAUUGGCACUGAGUUUAAGGAAGAAAUCAUUGUUAGUUGAUAAAAGCACAAGGAGUUCAUUAAAAGUGUAGAGUACUGUACCUCACCAUUCUGCUGUGGAUCAAUAAAGUACAGUAAUUCAGAUGCUCAACUUACAUCCUUAUGCCAAAGUUAUUUUAUGCUAAGUUAAGGCAAAUAAAAACAUUCAUAAUCCAUACAGUGCACCUAAUGUAAGCUAUGAGUUUACACUGAAGUGUAAUAAGGUCACAAACAGGCUGAUUUUGUAAGUAUCAGAAGCAAUGAGUUGAUAGCAGUAAGAACACUCAUGAAAUAUAUUCAAUCAAAUGCUCAGAAGGUUCCUUAGAAGGAGUUAACAGUUCCUGUUACCUAGGUGACCAAAUCAGCAGUGAAGUAGGGUGCUCCAAAGAAAUAGUGGCCAGAGUAAGAACAAGAAGGGAAAAGUUCAGGGUAGAUUGUAUGGUACUUCCGUAUAAAGUGCAAUGCUGCAUGGUAGCAAAACUUAGACAUUAAUUGUGGAGGAUGUGUAAAGGCUGGAAGGAAAUGAGGUAAACAUAUUCUGUUAGUUGUGUAAUGUUAGUGUGCAUAAAUUAUGUAGCACAAAUGAGCUGAGAGAAAAACUGAACAUAAGAAGAACCAAAUGUAGUGUGUGUGAUAUAUAUAUAUAUAUAUAGUUGAAAUUUACAGAAAAAC